rnacentral:rRNA from 1 species
UUUUUUAAUUGGGGACUGGAAUGAAAGGUUAGAAACUAAAAGGAAUGUUUUAUUUAUUUAUUUUUAAUUUAAAUUAAAAGUAAAAAUGCUUUUAUUAAUCCUGGGGACGAGAAGACCCUAGAAUCUUAAAAUUUUUAAUAAAUUUUUAAUUGGGGCAAUUAUUGAAGAGAUAAAUUUUUAAUUUGAUAAAGUAUAAAUAAUAAAGUUACUCUAGGGUUAACAGCGUUAUUUAGUUUGUAAGUUCUUAUUAAUAACUAAGAUUGCGACCUCGAUGUUGAAUUAAAUUGGAUUUUUAAUGGAGAGGUUUUAUAAAUUUAGUCUGUUCGACUAUUAAAAGUUUACGUGAUCUGAGUUCAGACCGG